ACUCCUACGGGAGGCAGCAGUGGGGAAUAUUGCACAAUGGGGGAAACCCUGAUGCAGCCAUGCCGCGUGUGUGAAGAAGGCCUUGGGUUGUAAAGCACUUUCAGUAGGGAGGAAGGUAGUGUAGUUAACACCUGCAUUAUUUGUACGUUACCUACAGAAGAAGCACCGGCUAACUCCGUGCCAGCAGCCGCGGUAAGUACGGAGGGUGCGAGCGUUAAUCGGAAUUACUGGGCGUAAAGCGCAUGCAGGCGGCCUGUUAAGUCAGAUGUGAAAGCCCGGGGCGUUAACCUCGGAAUUGCAUUUGAAACUGGCAGGCUAGAGUCUUGUAGAGGGGUUAGAAUUUCAGGUGUAGCGGUGAAAUGCGUAGAGAUUUGAAGGAUACCAGU
rnacentral:rRNA from 1 species